rnacentral:rRNA from 1 species
UGAGUGCGAGCGGCUACGGCCGCGAAGUGGGUGAUGUCAAGCUUCCAAGAAAAGCCCUAUACCCGUUAAGGCAUGAUGGCCUGUACCCGAAACCGACACAGGUGGGGUGGUAGAGAAUACCGAGGGGCGCGAGGUAACUCUCUCUAAGGAACUCGGCAAAAUGGCCCCGUAACUUCGGGAGAAGGGGUGCCACCGCAAGGUGGUCGCAGUGAAGAGGCCCAGGCGACUGUUUACCAAAAACACAGGUCUCCGCUAAGUCGCAAGACGAUGUAUGGGGGCUGACGCCUGCCCAGUGCCGGAAGGUUAAGGAAGCUGGUCAGCACAAGCGAAGCUGGCGACUGAAGCCCCGGUGAACGGCGGCCGUAACUAUAACGGUCCUAAGGUAGCGAAAUUCCUUGUCGGGUAAGUUCCGACCCGCACGAAAGGCGUAACGAUCUGGGCGCUGUCUCGGAGAGAGGCUCGGCGAAAUAGAAUUGUCUGUGAAGAUGCGGACUACGUGCACCCGGACAGAAAGACCCUAUGAAGCUUUACUGUAGCUUGGUAUUGUGCCCGGGCUCUGAAUGCGCAGGAUAGGUGGGAGGCUUUGAUCCAUGGCUUGCGGGUCAUGGUGAGCCAACGGUGAGAUACCACUCUUUCAGAGCUAGGGUUCUAACGGUCACCCGUCAUCCGGGGACCGGACAGUAUCAGGUGGGCAGUUUGACUGGGGCGGUCGCCUCCUAAAAGGUAACGGAGGCGCGCAAAGGUUUGCUCAGGCUGGUUGGAAAUCAGCCGACGAGUGCAAAAGCAGAAGCAAGCUUGACUGUGAGACCUACAAGUCGAACAGGGACGAAAGUCGGCUUUAGUGAUCCGACGGUUCUGAGUGGAAGGGCCGUCGCUCAACGGAUAAAAGUUACUCUAAGGAUAACAGGCUGAUCUCCCCCAAGAGUUCACAUCGACGGGGAGGUUUGGCACCUCGAUGUCGGCUCAUCGCAACCUGGGGCUGAAGUCGGUCCCAAGGGUUGGGCUGUUCGCCCAUUAAAGCGGUACGCGAGCUGGGUUCAGAACGUCGUGAGACAGUUCGGUCCAUAUCCGGUGCACGCGCAGGAACAUUGAGAGGAUUUCUCCCUAGUACGAGAGGACCGGGAGGAACGCACCUCUGGUGUGCCAGUUAUCGUGCCAACGGUAAACGCUGGGUAGCCAUGUGCGGAGUGGAUAACCGCUGAAAGCAUCUAAGUGGGAAGCCCACCUCAAGAUGAGUGUUCCCAUGGCAUAAGCCAGUAAGGUCACGGGAAGAACACCCGUUGAUAGGCUCUACGUGGAAGCCGGGUAACCGGUGAAGCGGAGGAGUAAUAAUAGACCGAGGGCUUGAC